rnacentral:rRNA from 1 species
CCUACGGGCGGCAGCAGUGGGGAAUAUUGGACAAUGGGGGGAACCCUGACCCAGCCAUGCCGCGUGUGUGAAGAAGGCCCUCGGGUUGUAAAGCACUUUCAGUGAGGAAGAACGCCUGGUGGUUAAUACCCAUCAGGAAAGACAUCACUCACAGAAGAAGCACCGGCUAACUCCGUGCCAGCAGCCGCGGUAAUACGGAGGGUGCGAGCGUUAAUCGGAAUUACUGGGCGUAAAGCGCGCGUAGGUGGCUUGAUAAGCCGGUUGUGAAAGCCCCGGGCUCAACCUGGGAACGGCAUCCGGAACUGUCAAGCUAGAGUGCAGGAGAGGAAGGUAGAAUUCCCGGUGUAGCGGUGAAAUGCGUAGAGAUCGGGAGGAAUACCAGUGGCGAAGGCGGCCUUCUGGACUGACACUGACACUGAGGUGCGAAAGCGUGGGUAGCAAACAGGAUUAGAUACCCGAGUAGUC